rnacentral:rRNA from 1 species
AUUGAACGCUGGCGGCAUGCCUUACACAUGCAAGUCGAACGGCAGCACGGGAGCAAUCCUGGUGGCGAGUGGCGAACGGGUGAGUAAAGUAUCGGAACGUGCCCAGUCGUGGGGGAUAACGUAGCGAAAGUUACGCUAAUACCGCAUACGAUCUAUGGAUGAAAGCGGGGGAUCGCAAGACCUCGCGCGAUUGGAGCGGCCGAUAUCAGAUUAGGUAGUUGGUGGGGUAAAGGCUCACCAAGCCGACGAUCUGUAGCUGGUCUGAGAGGACGACCAGCCACACUGGGAAUGAGACACGGCCCAGACUCCUACGGGAGGCAGCAGUGGGGAAUUUUGGACAAUGGGCGCAAGCCUGAUCCAGCCAUGCCGCGUGCAGGAUGAAGGCCUUCGGGUUGUAAACUGCUUUUGUACGGAACGAAAAGGUUUGGCCUAAUAAGCUGAGCUCAUGACGGUACCGUAAGAAUAAGCACCGGCUAACUACGUGCCAGCCGCCGCGGUAA